rnacentral:tRNA from 1 species
GGCGAGGUAGCUCAGGUGGUUAGAGCGCAGGAUUCAUAACCCUGAGGUCGGGAGUUCAAGUCUCCCUCUCGCUAC